rnacentral:lncRNA from 1 species
AUCAAACAUAGGGUUAAUUUUAUACAGAAUCUUAUAAAUAAAAUAAAUGACAAAUAUAUUCUUAUAAAGUUUUAUCUUUGUAGAAAUUUCGAUAUUUUCAAAUAUGUUUCUGUCAUUAAAUUUCAUUAGAAAAAUUUUUACCCCUCUUAUAUUAUACUGUUAUAACUUUUGGAGGAUUAGAAAAAUUUUUACCCCUCUUAUAUUAUACUGUUAUAACUUUUGGAGGAAUAUAUUUAUGAUGACAAAAUUGAAAAUAUAAACAGUUUUCUAAUAGUUCUCUAACAGUAACAAAUCAGAUGAACAUAUUUGAAAAUAUUAGGACUUUUAAAAAAACAACAUAUGAAAGUUAAACUUUAUAUGAAUAUAUUUGUUAUUCACUAUAUUUAUUGAGGACUAUAUGAAAUUAACCCUUAAAAAUAAAUUAAAGAAUUUUUUUUUACACUUAGUCCCUUAUAAAUUUUUUCUAAAAAUAAUUACAUAAAUUUUUUAUUUGCAAGAAUAAUCUUAUUCUCGUCACGCGAGCGCUGCGCAAGCAACAUGUGGGCGGGCUGAAUAAGUUGUAUAUUGCAAAUCACUUAGAAAAUAUAU